CCUAACACAUGCAAGUCGAACGGUAACAGGAAGAAGCUUAGCUUCUUUGCUGACGAGUGGCGGACGGGUGAGUAAUGUCUGGGAAACUGCCUGAUGGAGGGGGAUAACUACUGGAAACGGUAGCUAAUACCGCAUAACGUCGCAAGACCAAAGAGGGGGACCUUCGGGCCUCUUGCCAUCGGAUGUGCCCAGAUGGGAUUAGCUAGUAGGUGGGGUAACGGCUCACCUAGGCGACGAUCCCUAGCUGGUCUGAGAGGAUGACCAGCCACACUGGAACUGAGACACGGUCCAGACUCCUACGGGAGGCAGCAGUGGGGAAUAUUGCA
rnacentral:rRNA from 1 species